rnacentral:rRNA from 1 species
AGUGAAUAGAUACCCUGGUAGUCCUAGCUGUAAACGAUGGACACUAGGUGUUGGAGGCAUCAAACCCCUUCAGUGCUGUUAUGCUAACGCGUUAAGUGUCCCGCCUGGGGAGUACGGCCGCAAGGUUGAACUACAAGGAAAUUGACGGGGGCCCGGCACAAGCGGUGGAGCAUGUGGGUUAAGUGGGAGUGAUACGCCAAGAACCUUACCACGGGUUUGGUACAUGUUAGGGUAAAGGACCCACUGAAAGUAGGGACCCCCGGGGCCGAACCGGGCCCGUACUCACAGGUGGUGCAUGGUUGUCGUCAGCUCGUGUCGUGAGAUGUUGGGUUAAGUCCCGCAACGAGCGCAACCCUCGCCGGAUGUUGCCAGCGUAAAGCCGGGCACUCUUCCGGGACUGCCUGAGUAAUCAGGAGGAGGGAGAGGAUGACGUCAAAUCUGCAUGCCCCUUAUAUCCUGGGCUGCACACGUGCUACAAUGGCAGGUACAAAGGGUAGCCAAGCCGCGAGGUGGAGCCAAUCCCAAAACCGUGUCCCAGUUCGGAUUGGAUGUCUGC